AGAACGAACGCUGGCGGCAUGCCUAAUACAUGCAAGUCGAACGAACUCUUCGGAGUUAGUGGCGCACGGGUGCGUAACGCGUGGGAAUCUGCCCCUUGGUUCGGAAUAACAGUUGGAAACGACUGCUAAUACCGGAUGAUGACGAAAGUCCAAAGAUUUAUCGCCAAGGGAUGAGCCCGCGUAGGAUUAGCUAGUUGGUGAGGUAAAGGCUCACCAAGGCGACGAUCCUUAGCUGGUCUGAGAGGAUGAUCAGCCACACUGGGACUGAGACACGGCCCAGACUCCGUACGGGGGCAGCAGGUAGGAAUAGUUGGACAAGUGGGCG
rnacentral:rRNA from 1 species